AACGGUCUAUACCUGCGGUACCUGCGGAGGGAUCAUUACCGAGUUUACAACUCCCAAACCCAUGUGAACAUACCUAUUGUUGCUUCGGCGGGAUUGCCCCGGGCGCCUCGUGUGCCCCGGAUCAGGCGCCCGCCUAGGAAACUUAACUCUUGUUUUAUUUUGGAAUCUUCUGAGUAGUUUUUACAAAUAAAUAAAAACUUUUAACAACGGAUCUCU
rnacentral:misc_RNA from 1 species